rnacentral:rRNA from 1 species
UACGGAGGGUGCGAGCGUUUAAUCGGAAUUACUGGGCGUAAAGCGCACGUAGUCGGCUUUGCAAGUCGGGUGUGAAAUCCCCGGGCUCAACCUGGGAACUGCAUCCGAGACUGCAUUGCUAGAGUAUUGGGAGAGGGAAGCGGAAUUUCUGGGUGGAUAGCAGUGAAAUGCGUAGAUAUACAGAAGGAACAUCAUGGCGAAGGCGGCUUCCUGGACCAAUACUGACGAUCAGGUGCGAAAGCGUGGGGAGCAAACAGG